UGGGGAAUAUUGGACAAUGGGCGCAAGCCUGAUCCAGCCAUGCCGCGUGAGUGAUGAAGGCCUUAGGGUUGUAAAGCUCUUUUACCAGGGAAGAUAAUGACGGUACCUGGAGAAUAAGCCCCGGCUAACUUCGUGCCAGCAGCCGCGGUAAUACGAAGGGGGCUAGCGUUGCUCGGAAUCACUGGGCGUAAAGCGCACGUAGGUGGGUCGUUAAGUCGGGGGUGAAAUCCUGGAGCUCAACUCCAGAACUGCCUUCGAUACUGGCGAUCUUGGAGUCCGGGAGAGGUCAGUGGAACUGCGAGUGUAGAGGUGAAAUUCGUAGAUAUUCGCAAGAACACCAGUGGCGAAGGCGGCUCACUGGCCCGGUACUGACACUGAGGUGCGAAAGCGUGGGGAGCAAACA
rnacentral:rRNA from 1 species